UACGAAGGGGGCUAGCGUUGUUCGGAAUUACUGGGCGUAAAGCGCACGUAGGCGGGUUGUUAAGUCAGGGGUGAAAUCCUGGAGCUCAACUCCAGAACUGCCUUUGAUACUGGCAACCUAGAGACUGGAAGAGGUUAGUGGAAUUCCCAGUGUAGAGGUGAAAUUCGUAGAUAUUGGGAAGAACACCAGUGGUGAAGGCGGCUAACUGGUCCAGUACUGACGCUGAGGCGCGAAAGCGUGGGGAGCAAACAGG
rnacentral:rRNA from 1 species